CUCCUACGGGAGGCAGCAGUGGGGAAUAUUGGACAAUGGGCGAAAGCCUGAUCCAGCAAUGCCGCGUGAGUGAUGAAGGCCUUAGGGUUGUAAAGCUCUUUUACCCGGGAUGAUAAUGACAGUACCGGGAGAAUAAGCUCCGGCUAACUCCGUGCCAGCAGCCGCGGUAAUACGGAGGGAGCUAGCGUUGUUCGGAAUUACUGGGCGUAAAGCGCGCGCAGGCGGUGAUGUAAGUCUGAGGUGAAAACCCGAAGCUCAACUUCGGGACUGCCUUGGAUACUGCGUCACUUGAGGAUAGGAGAGGCAAGGGGAAUUCCACGUGUAGCGGUGAAAUGCGUAGAGAUGUGGAGGAACACCUGCGGCGAAGGCGCCUUGCUGGCCUAUUUCUGACGCUGAGGCGCGAAAGCGUGGGGAGCAAACAGGAUUAGAUACCCUGGUAGUCCACGCUGUAAACGAUGAGUGCUAGGUGUAGGUGGGCUCAUACCCAUCUGUGCCGAAGCUAACGCAUUAAGCACUCCGCCUGGGGAGUACGGUCGCAAGACUGAAACUCAAAGGAAUUGACGGGGGCCCGCACAAGCAGUGGAGCAUGUGGUUUAAUUCGAAGCAACGCGAAGAACCUUACCAGGACUUGACAUCCCAUAGACCAGUCUAGAGAUAGACUUUCCCUUCGGGGCUGUGGUGACAGGUGGUGCAUGGUUGUCGUCAGCUCGUGUCGUGAGAUGUUGGGUUAAGUCCCGCAACGAGCGCAACCCUUACUUUGUGUUGCCAGCAUUCAGUUGGGCACUCACAAGGGACUGCCGCCGAUAAGGCGGAGGAAGGUGGGGAUGACGUCAAAUCAUCAUGCCCCUUAUGUCCUGGGCUACACACGUGCUACAAUGGCGGUGACAGUGGGCAGCAAACUCGCGAGAGUGCGCUAAUCUCCAAAAGCCGUCUCAGUUCGGAUUGUUCUCUGCAACUCGAGAGCAUGAAGGCGGAAUCGCUAGUAAUCGCGGAUCAGCUAUGCCGCGGUGAAUACGUUCCCUGGCCUUGUACACACCGCCCGU
rnacentral:rRNA from 1 species